AGUUUGAAGGAGUAGCCACCCACUCCUGUGACACACCCUUCCUCUCAGAAGUAGAGACAAAGGCUGCUGAAUUCAGAAGGGACACAGGCCUGACCAGGGUUCACACUACAGCCGUCAGACUGUGACCACCUUCCUGAGAUUAUUUGAAGUGGGGGGCAGGAGGGCCCUACCUCUCUCAGCCAACCCCUUGCAUCCUGCCAGAUCCCAUGGGAAGGGGCAGCCAGGUGUUUUCUAGGUGGCCAGAUCUGUGCAAUGGGUAUCAGCAUGCACCCCAGCCUCAAGUUCUGCAGCAUCGUCGAGAUGUUAGCAGGUUCUCCUUGAAGGAGUGUUCCCAUUAUGAGCAGCACAUUCUAUCUCCCUUUGCUGGGUGCUUGCUUAGCAUCCCAUUAUAUCUCAAUCAACGGCUGGAGUCAACAACUUUGAUUUGUUUUGACCACAAAUAAGGAAGGUGCACAAGGAGCCAUGGGUGCAUCCUCCCUCUAUCUCCCUACCCUGAGCCUGAAUGCUAGCCUAAAGUAUGGUACCUUGUCCUUUGGGACCCAGCAUUCUGGGACUGCUCCUCUCCUCCGUUUGGGGUCUCCAUGGGGAUCCUUGUCAGCCUGGAGCAGAAGAGGCACUGAAAACCAGCUCUCUGCUGACACUGUUAACACCGCUUGUCUCUGCCUCCUGUGCUUCUAGGAUGUGUUUUGUCUAAACCUCAGAGUGUUCUUCUCAAACUUGACCUGGUUGCCAACACUUAAAACCUGGGAGAUUCCACAACAAAUUCUGAAUUUUAAACUUCUCCUAAGCACGAGAAGACCUAUCAACACGGUGCGGAAUGCCCCUCUGUGGAAUUGAAGACAGACACAAACCAUUUACAUGCAAAGCAUCAAACCUGCAAGCAAGGGACCCUUCUGCCAAGAUCCGUGGCAGUCAUGAAGAGGGGCCAUGCUGAUCUGGGGAGUGUUCUUACAGUCUAUGAGACAGCAGGGAUCGUAUGCAAAUCAAGUCGAUGAAGCCUAAGUGUUUGUCCCACCUCUGGUUCUGGGGAUCAGUGCCCAAGUGGCUGGAGUUAGCAGGGCUGAGAGAGGACAGGGAGGGGCCUGCCUGCAGCUUUUGCAGUCACUGCCUUGGGCUAAGCAGAAGAGAAGACUCUUAGCAGCUGCUGGUGUCACCCUGGUAAUCGGAGCGUGGUGGGUGAGAACCAUUCCCUGCAAGAUCCAAAAGCCAGGAACAGUGUGGGACCAGCCACACUGGUGCUGCAGAGCCUGCUUGCUAGCUGCAGUGAUCCCUCUAAAAAUAGCAAGCUUGGGGCUGGUGGCCGAUGUUUCCUGGAACCCAGGAAAAGCUGGCUCAUGAGAGGGUGACCUGGCACCCUUUUCUGUGUCCUGCUUCUUACAGGGACUUGGAGAAAGGAUGGGGACUGGCGAAGGUGGUGAGCACCACUCCUGUGGUGAGGGGCAUAUAGAGUCCUGACUUGAAGACCUCAGACUGAGGUGGGGGGACGCCCAUCCUGGCCUGCUCUCCUUGUCAGCACAGCUGAAGAAGUGCCUGACAGAUGAAGCACGGUGCCCAGAUGUGGUUUGCUUUGGGUAGGCUAUGGGAGUUUGGGAGUGGACUUUUGACUCAGGUGGGCUCUGGCGGUCUUGGGCUCUGGUCCCAGAAUGCCUGCUGAGAGUACGCUUAGGGAGGUGUAACUCCAACUCUCUCCUGCUUUACCUGAGGUGCCCUCGGUCCUCUCUUCUCAUCCUAUUCAACCCUCCAGGCUUUGAAUAUCCCUCUUGUGUCUCAUGGGCUUCCUCAGGAAGAUCCUCCCACAAGCCAUCUAGGGGACUGGGACCACAGUAAGCUCACCUUUUCUGAGCUCCAUGGGAUGAAGGCCAACAUGCCCUGUUGUGUUGUGUUCCUAUGCCCUUCAUGGAUCCCUGGAUAGAAUAUGAGUUCCCAGCUGACUGCUGGUCCAGCCACCUUUUCAUGAGUGUUUUAGUGAGAUGAGGAUGUGAAGAGCCCACCCGUCUGCCUACACCGUAAGCUUAAAAGCCACCUCUCAGUAAAGGUAAACUAGGUUCAUUCCUGUCUGUGAUUAGACCUGGUUUUCAAGGAUUGGGCUGUGCCCCACCCUGUAACCUUAACUACCAAUUGCUCUGUACUGCCUGUUGCAAGAGUGACUAUCAUGUCUUUGUUUUAAAAAGUUGUUUAUAACCACCUUGCAACCCUACCUUUGUUUGGAAAGGUUGUAUUACCACCUAUGACUAUCUGCUGUUCGGUCCACCUUGUAGCCAUGUCUUUGUUUCUGGAGGUCAUCAGGGCUAACUUGUCAUGCUUAUGUUCUGUCCCUAUAACCCCGGCUAUUUUACCCACCAAAUCCCCCAUUUGUAAACCCCUGCCACUGAGAUUUAUAAAAACCUUUUUCUUUCUCACAUCCAGUGCUGACCUCUUGAAUCUUGCCUUAGGGGAGGCAGCCCGAGUACACGUAUCAAGAAGCCUGCUUUAAUGAAUUGUUUGCUUUAAUUAAUUUGGCCAGAGGAUUUGGAUCGGUGGUCUUUCUCCUCCCAGCUUUGGGAUUAGCAGAUGACGAUACUUUCAAGGGAGAAUGAUGCUUUCACAGGUGGCUAUGAUGAUUAAAUCGAUCUAUACAUCACAUGUGCGCAGCUUAUGUGACAGAAUAUGAAGUGUAGCAUUGCAUAAAUGUUAACUAUUAUUGUUAUUACCAGGUCACAGGAUUUUUUUUUUUUAGACAGGG
rnacentral:sRNA from 1 species